rnacentral:tRNA from 1 species
GGGUCGUUAGCUCAGUCGGUAGAGCAGUUGACUUUUAAUCAAUUGGUCGCAGGUUCGAAUCCUAUACGACCCACCA